GAUGAACGCUGGCGGUGUGCUUAACACAUGCAAGUCGAACGGGAUCCAAGGGUUGCUUGCUCUCUGGGGGGAGAGUGGCGCACGGGUGAGUAACACGUAAGUAACCUGUCCUUUUCUUGAGGAUAAGCAGUCGAAAGGGUGUUUAAUACCGUAUGUUCUGUCAGCCUCGCAUGGGGUGGGGAGGAAAGGAUUUCGCCGGAGUUGGGGGGGCCCGCGGUAUAUCUGGUUGGUGGGGGGGUGAUGGCUUAACAAGGCUUUGGCGGGUAGCCGGCCGGAGAGGGCGGUCCGUCAGAUGGGGACUGAGAUACGGCCGAGACUGCGGCGGGAGGCAGCAGUGGGGGAAAUUGCGCAAGGGGCGAAAGCCUGAUGCAGCGACGCCGCGUGGGGGAGGAAUGCGUUCGGGGUGUAAACUUCUUUUGCUCUGAACAAGGCAUGCCAGUGAGUGUGUUGAGUGUAGGGGUUGAUUAGCGCCGGCUAACUACGUG
rnacentral:rRNA from 1 species